rfam:Schistosoma mattheei strain Denwood, Zambia genome assembly, scaffold: SMTD_contig0001882
AUCCAGCUGACGAGUCACAAAUAGGAGGAAACGCGCAUCAUGGAU